UGCAGUCGACGAAGCGCUGAGAGGAGUCCUUCGGGGCAAAUUUUCGGAGGCUUAGUGGCGGACGGGUGAGUAACGCGUGAGCAACCUGCCCAUAAGAGGGGGAUAACAGCUGGAAACGGCUGCUAAUACCGCAUAAGACCACAAAGUCACAUGGCAAAGGGGUCAAAGAUUUAUCGCUUAUGGAUGGGCUCGCGUCUGAUUAGCUAGUUGGUAGGGUAAAGGCCUACCAAGGCGACGAUCAGUAGCCGACCUGAGAGGGUGAUCGGCCACACUGGAACUGAGACACGGUCCAGACUCCUACGGGAGGCAGCAGUGGGGAAUAUUGGGCAAUGGGGGAAACCCUGACCCAGCAACGCCGCGUGAGGGAAGAAGGCUUUCGAGUUGUAAACCUCUGUCCUAUGGGAAGAAGAAGUGACAGUACCAUAGGAGGAAGCUCCGGCUAACUACGUGCCAGCAGCCGCGGUAAUACGUAGGGAGCAAGCGUUGUCCGGAAUUACUGGGCGUAAAGGGUGCGUAGGCGGCGCAGUGAGUCAGAAGUGAAAUAUCGGGGCUUAACCCCGGGGCUGCUUCUGAUACUGCUGUGCUUGAGUGCAGGAGAGGUAAGCGGAAUUCCUAGUGUAGCGGUGAAAUGCGUAGAUAUUAGGAGGAACACCAGUGGCGAAGCGGCUUACUGGACUGUAACUGACGCUGAAGCACGAAAGCGUGGGUAGCAAACAGGAUUAGAU
rnacentral:rRNA from 1 species